rnacentral:lncRNA from 1 species
UUUUAAGAAAUUGCUGAAACUGAUUUAUUUUUCUAACCGAUUUCUUGUAGGAAGUGUCCAUAUAUAAAUCAGAAAAACAAGUUGUGUUUGUAUAGCUCUUCUUAAUAAUAUUUUCAUUUUUCUGGGUUUUUUUUUAAAAUUGAUGUUGGCUAUAUGUCAGUGAGACAGCUACUCGAGGUCAUGAAAAAAAAUUAAAAGACAAGUAGAGGUCAACAUACAAUAAUAAUCACCUGUCUUUACAAAAUCUCUAUAUCUGCCCCAGUUUCAAGUUGUGAACAUUGAACAUUGAUUAUUAAAGAUCUGCUUUCAUCUUGGAAUUUUGAUUACUUUGGAUUCAUUUACUGUUAAUUCAGAAAUUAUUGCAUGCAUUUAUUAUUGUGGUUUCUAAAAUGUGAUUUUAAUUUUUGCGAUAUUGAGAAAAAUCCUGUUUAAUUCAUAUAGAAAGAGGGAAAAAAAUGCGAGUUUAAAUUAUUGCGAUUAAAACCCUGUCAAAUUUUUCGCAAUAAUAAAACAUUGCAAUAAUUUCUGAAUUUACAGUAUUUCCAAGGGUACCAAAUCUCAUGGAUUGAGGAAAACUACUAUUGUGUUAGAUAUUUGAUUUGAUGGUUUUGCUUUAGUCAGCACAUAUUUCAAUGGAAAAUUUGUAAUUUGUUGAACAUUUAAAUUCUUUGUUUCCAUGUUCUCAUGAAAUCCAUGAAAAUUGGUAUCCAAUUUGUAAUAAAGAAUCCUCAAUAUACCAGAGUUGAGCUCAUUUCUUAUAUUCUUUUCACACUUAUAGAUUGUUAAUAACAUAAACUGCUGAUUAAAUGAAUAAGGUUGUCCAGGCACCUUCCACUUGUAUAUCAGACUUUUACAUUCUUCUUAUCAAGGAACAUUUAAUGGCAGGUUUCUUUCUUAUCUAUUAUUGUUAUAAUUUAAUUUUGGAUGUAACUCGUCUUCUGAUUGGCUGACGCUGUUUGGUUUAUCAGCUCAUAGACAUAAUUUUGUCAUGUGACUGUGAGGUCAUCAACAUUUUUUAUGGUUUACUACGGUUUAAAAUGGAAUUUAGAAUUAAAUUAUAAGAAAUGUCUGUAAUAUUGUUUCUGUCUAUUUGAAAUAACACACAAAAUGUGGUGCACACUUUAAAAUAACACGCUAUGUGGGUUAUUCAGUAUUCACCACAUUUUUUAUGUUAUUUCUUCAUAGACAGAAAAAACAUUACAGUCAUUCCUUAAAUAACAUAAAAUGAUAGAGGUCAUGUGACUUACAUUUGCAUCAUUAUCUAUGUCUUAUGAUUGUUUAAUUUACUCUUAUGCUAGAUGAUACUUACUUUGACAACCAUUGAAUUAUUUUUAGCUUGUAAUCAGGGAUUAAUUUGUAAAAUAUAAUCAAAAUGUGUUCACUGUUUUAUACAAUUGUAUUGAUUUUAAUAUUUUAUAGAAAUUUUCUCACCCAGCCAUUAAUCAUUGUAGACACAUUGAGUAAGUAGAGGCAGAAGUAGUCAUUAGUUAUAAAAUGCAAAACAAUACUGUAAACCAACUUAUUUUCACCUUACCCUUCUCAUGUGGUACAUGAACACUUAACUCAAAUUGUCCUUUCUUUCUGAAAUUAUAUUCUCUUUUCAUAUAUAUUUAAAAAAGAAUUUUCGACAAUGUUUAUGGUUGUAAAUAAAUAGAUAUUUAAAUGUAUUGCUAAUAGUACUGUAUGUAUGUUUGAUGUGCUGAAUUUGUUGUAAUUCUUGAAAAUAAUAUAUAAAAAAAACUUAUUUUCACGAGCAAUUUAUCUUAGAGGGUAGAAAAUGUUGUGAAUAUUAAUCCCCUGUAAUGUGUAACACUUGGGUCUUCCCUUAUAAAUACAUCAAGAAAAUAAGAAAACACUUAACUUAAUUGCUGCGAAGACGGCGAAAUAACAUACCUGCUAAAAUAAGUUGGUCUACAGUAAUAAUUUCACUAUUUAUUCAGAUGAAUUGUAAAGUUUUUCUAGGGUAAAGGAAUUCUUACAGCAUACAUAUUAUCAUUCAAUGGUCUUUACAUGAUAGGUAAUGCCAUUUGUUAUUUAUUCCAUUUUCAUAACAUUUCCGCAAUCAGAUUCUUGGUUAAGUUUUAUUGUUUGCUUAAAUUUAGGAAUUAUUUUAAUGUACUUUUAUUUUAGUUUCUAUUAUGACUAGUAGUUUCAGUGCAUUAUCACUAAUGUAUAUUAUAUUUAUUAUUAUUGUAUAGCAAUAUAAUAUUUCCCACAGAACGUAACCAAAAGUUAGCUUGCAAUAAAUUCUAAUAUUGCACUAGUGCAAUAAAUCUUCAA